UACGGAGGGAGCUAGCGUUAUUCGGAAUUACUGGGCGUAAAGCGCACGUAGGCGGUUACUCAAGUCAGAGGUGAAAGCCUGGAGCUCAACUCCAGAACUGCCUUUGAAACUAGGUGACUUGAAUCCAGGAGAGGUGAGUGGAAUUCCGAGUGUAGAGGUGAAAUUCGUAGAUAUUCGGAAGAACACCGGUGGCGAAGGCGGCAUCCUGGACCGGCAUUGACGCUGAGGAGCGAAAGCCAGGGGAGCAAACGGG
rnacentral:rRNA from 1 species